rnacentral:miRNA from 2 species
UCACCGGGUGCACAUUCGGU